UACGUAGGGGGCGAGCGUUGUCCGGAAUUACUGGGCGUAAAGGGAGCGUAGGCGGUCUGAUAAGUUGGAUGUGAAAUACCCGGGCUUAACUUGGGGGGUGCAUCCAAUACUGUUGGACUAGAGUACAGGAGAGGAAAGCGGAAUUCCUAGUGUAGCGGUGAAAUGCAUAGAUAUUAGGAGGAACAUCGGUGGCGAAGGCGGCUUUCUGGACUGCAACUGACGCUGAGGCUCGAAAGCGUGGGGAGCAAACAGG
rnacentral:rRNA from 3 species